UGGGGAAUAUUGCACAAUGGGCGAAAGCCUGAUGCAGCAACGCCGCGUGAGUGAUGAAGGCCUUCGGGUUGUAAAGCUCUGUCUUCUGGGACGAUAAUGACGGUACCAGAGGAGGAAGCCACGGCUAACUACGUGCCAGCAGCCGCGGUAAUACGUAGGUGGCAAGAGUUGUCCGGAUUUACUGGGCGUAAAGGAUGAGUAGGCGGAUACUUAAGUCAGAUGUGAAAAUCCCGGGCUUAACUUGGGAACUGCAUUUGAAACUGGGUAUCUAGAGUGCGGGAGAGGAAAGUGGAAUUCCUAGUGUAGCGGUGAAAUGCGUAGAGAUUAGGAAGAACACCAGUGGCGAAGGCGACUUUCUGGACCGUAGCUGACGCUGAGGCAUGAAAGCGUGGGG
rnacentral:rRNA from 1 species